UGGGAGGCUUUGAAGUGUGGACGCCAGUCUGCAUGGAGCCGACCUUGAAAUACCACCCUUUAAUGUUUGAUGUUCUAACGUGGACCCGUGAUCCGGGUUGCGGACAGUGUCUGGUGGGUAGUUUGACUGGGGCGGUCUCCUCCUAAAGAGUAACGGAGGAGCACGAAGGUUGGCUAAUCCUGGUCGGACAUCAGGAGGUUAGUGCAAUGGCAUAAGCCAGCUUGACUGCGAGCGUGACGGCGCGAGCAGGUGCGAAAGCAGGUCAUAGUGAUCCGGUGGUUCUGAAUGGAAGGGCCAUCGCUCAACGGAUAAAAGGUACUCCGGGGAUAACAGGCUGAUACCGCCCAAGAGUUCAUAUCGACGGCGGUGUUUGGCACCUCGAUGUCGGCUCAUCACAUCCUGGGGCUGAAGUAGGUCCCAAGGGUAUGGCUGUUCGCCAUUUAAAGUGGUACGCGAGCUGGGUUUAGAACGUCGUGAGACAGUUCGGUCCCUAUCUGCCGUGGGCGCUGGAGAACUGAGGGGGGCUGCUCCUAGUACGAGAGGACCGGAGUGGACGCAUCACUGGUGUUCGGGUUGUCAUGCCAAUGGCACUGCCCGGUAGCUAAAUGCGGAAGAGAUAAGUGCUGAAAGCAUCUAAGCACGAAACUUGCCCCGA
rnacentral:rRNA from 2 species